rnacentral:rRNA from 1 species
GGGCCCGCACAAGCGGUGGAUUAUGUGGUUUAAUUCGAUGCAACGCGCAAAACCUUACCUAGGCUUGACAUCCCGCGCAUAGCCGUGAAAGCGGUGAAUUCCCUUCGGGGACGCGGUGACAGGUGCUGCAUGGCUGUCGUCAGCUCGUGUCGUGAGAUGUUGGGUUAAGUCCCGCAACGAGCGCAACCCUUGUGGUUAGUUGCCAGCAUUAAGUUGGGCACUCUAGCCAGACCGCUUGCCGAUAAGGCAGAGGAAGGUGGGGAUGACGUCAAGUCCGCAUGGCCCUUACGCCUAGGGCUACACACGUAAUACAAUGGACGGUACAGAGCGUCGCAAGACCGCAAGGUGGAGCUAAUCGCAGAAAACCGUUCUCAGUUCGGAUUGCUCUCUGCAACUCGAGAGCAUGAAGUUGGAAUCGCUAGUAAUCGCGGAUAAGUAUGCCGCGGUGAAUACGUUCCCGGGCCUU